rnacentral:rRNA from 1 species
GGAAGUAAAAGUCGUAACAAGGUUUCCGUAGGUGAACCUGCGGAAGGAUCAUUACCGAGUUGAUUCGGGCUCCGGCCCGAUCCUCCCACCCUUUGUGUACCUACCUCUGUUGCUUUGGCGGGCCGCGGUCCUCCGCGGCCGCCCCCCUCCCCGGGGGGUGGCCAGCGCCCGCCAGAGGACCAUCAAACUCCAGUCAGUAAACGAUGCAGUCUGAAAAACAUUUAAUAAACUAAAACUUUCAACAACGGAUCUCUUGGUUCUGGCAUCGAUGAAGAACGCAGCGAAAUGCGAUAAGUAAUGUGAAUUGCAGAAUUCAGUGAAUCAUCGAAUCUUUGAACGCACAUUGCGCCCUUUGGUAUUCCGAAGGGCAUGCCUGUUCGAGCGUCAUUACAACCCUCAAGCUCUGCUUGGUAUUGGGCACCGUCCUUUGCGGGCGCGCCUCAAAGACCUCGGCGGUGGCGUCUUGCCUCAAGCGUAGUAGAACAUACAUCUCGCUUCGGAGCGCAGGGCGUCGCCCGCCGGACGAACCUUCUGAACUUUUCUCAAGGUUGACCUCGGAUCAGGUAGGGAUACCCGCUGAACUUAAGCAUAUCAAUAAGCGGAGGA